CCUACGGGAGGCAGCAGUGGGGAAUAUUGGACAAUGGGCGAAAGCCUGAUCCAGCAAUGCCGCGUGAGUGAUGAAGGCCUUAGGGUUGUAAAGCUCUUUUACCCGGGAUGAUAAUGACAGUACCGGGAGAAUAAGCUCCGGCUAACUCCGUGCCAGCAGCCGCGGUAAUACGGAGGGAGCUAGCGUUGUUCGGAAUUACUGGGCGUAAAGCGCACGUAGGCGGCUUUGUAAGUUAGAGGUGAAAGCCUGGAGCUCAACUCCAGAAUUGCCUUUAAGACUGCAUCGCUUGAAUCCAGGAGAGGUGAGUGGAAUUCCGAGUGUAGAGGUGAAAUUCGUAGAUAUUCGGAAGAACACCAGUGGCGAAGGCGGCUCACUGGACUGGUAUUGACGCUGAGGUGCGAAAGCGUGGGGGGCAAACAGGAUUAGAUACCCUGGUAGUCCACGCCGUAAACGAUGAUAACUAGCUGUCAGGGUUCUUAGAACUUUGGUGGCGCAGCUAACGCAUUAAGUUAUCCGCCUGGGGAGUACGGUCGCAAGAUUAAAACUCAAAGGAAUUGACGG
rnacentral:rRNA from 1 species